rnacentral:lncRNA from 1 species
GGAUGGAGAGCGUGGAAAGCGAAUCCGAGUAGCAGUAAUACUUCCCCAAUCAAUUUUUAUAUUCAUGUAAACAAAAAUUUGUGGGAAAUGAUUUAAAAAAGAGAAGAAGAAGGUGUGAGAGAGACAGAGACCUAUCCGAGCACCACCCACCAGGGACAGAGACCCUUUUUGUAGUCCACCUGCCCUUCUUUUGUACGACAAUGUGUCUUCCCCCUCUUUGGUGAUCUAUGAGUUUUGUACAGUGGACGACAUGUCGCUAAUGAUAUGUCAGCCAACGACAAGUAGU